rnacentral:rRNA from 1 species
UACGUAGGGGGCAAGCGUUGUCCGGAUUUAUUGGGCGUAAAGAGCGUGUAGGCGGCUUGUCGCGUCGUUCGUGAAAACCUGCAGCUCAACUGCAGGCUUGCGGUCGAUACGGGCAGGCUAGAGUUCGGUAGGGGAGACUGGAAUUCCUGGUGUAGCGGUGAAAUGCGCAGAUAUCAGGAGGAACACCGGUGGCGAAGGCGGGUCUCUGGGCCGAUACUGACGCUGAGGAGCGAAAGCGUGGGGAGCGAACAGG